CCUCAAAUCAACGAUGCCACAUUCUUUUUCUCAGGAUCAAUAUCCACAGUUGCCACCGCACCCCGACCUUCCAGAUGCCCACACUAAUUUGACCCUCUCUAGAUCGUUUGUGCUGCCAGCCUCCCGUUUCAGAUCCACAAUCGCCGCCAGUACUGUCUUCGCGUGGGUCUCAUCGAUCGUCCUGUACACAGUCUGGAUGUCGUGCGCCUGAGCUGGGUUUGCCGCACCAGAUCUGCUCGCUGGCCAUGAUGUGUCUGUCAAUCUGUCACAGACUUGCAGAUUGUCUACCAUGCCGCUUGCGAAUUUACUGGUGGGUGAGAAUUGCAGAUUUGUCACAAACUUAUAGAUUUACUGAGUUUUGGACAUUGUUAAAACUGCUGUCCAGCAGAUGUUGAAGUUGGAUUUUGGCGAAAUUUUGAGCGUGUUGGAUUGAAGGAUUUAAGGCUUGAUUCAGGAUUCAAGAUUAUGAAGAUGGUUCAACUUAACAUUAAGGUAAGUGUCUUUCUACUCAUUUGCCUUUGAAUCAGUUCUCUUAACCAAAAUGAUAAUGAUAAGACUGUACAUUUAUAUAGAAUGAUAUGAAAUGGUUUACUACACUUCGAUUAUGUAAUGACUAUUGGUGUUCUGGUAACUUUUAAGUCACAUUGCUGUGAACACAAUAGAGGACCUUAUGUUUACAAUCUACACACUGAAUAUGAUGACGUAAUGUGACUGUGAUUUUAGUA